rnacentral:lncRNA from 1 species
UUGAUGUUGCGAAAGUGUCCGUUGCGGAGCCGCGUGGAGCUGAUGACAAUGUAGUAACACUCCAUGGGGCCCCGCCGCCUCCCGCCCGGCGCUGGGGCCCCGCCGCCGCCGCCGCCGCCGCCCCGCACGCCGGGGGCCACGCUCACUCCGCCCCGCGGCCGCGCGCGCCGCCCCCCCGCCGCCCCCGCGCCCGCGCCCGCCCCCGCGCCCGCCCCCGCGCCCGCCCCCGCAUGCCCCCCGCCCCCCGCCCCCCGCCGGCCGCAGGGCCCCGAGCGCGUCAGUGGCGGCGGCAGUGGCGGCGGCGGCGGCCCGGGAGUCGCGGCGGCCGGCGGGCAUGAGGGCUGUUAUAGUGCGCGGCGUCGCCGGUCCGCCGCACCGAGCCAAUGGCAGGGAGCCACUGGGCUGGCACGGGGAGCUGUCACGGCCGCGCAGCUGGCGCCCGCCCCCGCCCCCGCCAGGGGGAGCGCCCCGGGAGCCGCCGAGCCGCGGCCGCCGCCGCCCGCCCGCCCCCCGGGAGCCCGGGACUCCGGCGAGGUCGAGGUGUCAGGACAUCUGCACUCGGGCCGCCCACCCCUAGGGCUCCGCACGGCGGGGGCUCCGCACACUACACCCCGGUCCUCGGCCUCGCAGGGAGCCCGGCCGCCCCCCGGACACCAGCCCUGGAGAGAGGAAGAGAAGACAAGGGGACAGAAGAAGUGCUUCCCGCAGAGGGGACACUGCUGUCUGCUGGAUUUAAAAGUGCGGCCUCUUUGA